CGGCGGACGGGUGAGUAAUGCUUAGGAAUCUGCCCAGUAGUGGGGGAUAGCCCGGGGAAACCCGGAUUAAUACCGCAUACGUCCUACGGGAGAAAGCAGGGGAUCUUCGGACCUUGCGCUAUUGGAUGAGCCUAAGUCGGAUUAGCUAGUUGGUGGGGUAAAGGCCUACCAAGGCGACGAUCCGUAGCUGGUCUGAGAGGAUGAUCAGCCACAUCGGGACUGAGACACGGCCCGAACUCCUACGGGAGGCAGCAGUGGGGAAUAUUGGACAAUGGGGGCAACCCUGAUCCAGCCAUGCCGCGUGUGUGAAGAAGGCUUUCGGGUUGUAAAGCACUUUCAGUAGGGAGGAAAACCUUAUGGCUAAUACCCAUGAGGCUUGACGUUACCUACAGAAGAAGCACCGGCUAACUCCGUGCCAGCAGCCGCGGUAAUACGGAGGGUGCAAGCGUUAAUCGGAAUUACUGGGCGUAAAGCGCGCGUAGGUGGUUUGGUAAGCGAGAUGUGAAAGCCCCGGGCUUAACCUGGGAACGGCAUUUCGAACUGUCAGACUAGAGUGUGGUAGAGGGUAGUGGAAUUUCCUGUGUAGCGGUGAAAUGCGUA
rnacentral:rRNA from 2 species